rnacentral:misc_RNA from 1 species
UUUUAAAUUGAUGUUCAUCUCUCUACAUUACAAAAGAAUACAAUAAGCACAUUCCUAAUCAUCCAUGUAAAAUUGGAAAACUGAUACUAGAUUUCCGCUUCUUGAUUCUCUCCAUCUUUCUCUAGAACUCAUACAAGAAACUGAACAUGCCUAGUCUGUUCUCCAACAUUAAAAUUUUCAAGGGAAAAAAGUAUAUAUAUAUAUAUAUAAGAUAAAAAUCUUAAGAAGGAGUGACAUUGCACAAAUACAACUACACAGAAAUGAAU